rnacentral:pre_miRNA from 1 species
AAUAAGUGCAGUUUUACACUAUUCACGUCUUAUUUGAAAUUUUUUCAUUAUUAGUAUUUUUAUUGCUAUUAGAUGAUAAAAUAUGAAUAUCACUUUAUGUGUGAUUAAAUAUUUUUCACAGAUUUUUCAAAUACAACGGACGGUUAAACAUUGGGCACGGAUAUUCAUAGCUGCACUUAUU